rnacentral:lncRNA from 1 species
GAGAGAGAUUGAUUUCAAGCUUCCUUUUGCCUUUGUGGGAAAGGAUAGACUAAAGGAAGAAUAAGAAGACCAUCAUACUGUCUCAAAGGUAGCAAGAACCUGAAUAACAGCAAAUCCACGAGGCUGUGAGAAGACCAAUGAGAAGUGCAAAUGACGGAGAUGUGUGGACUUUGGGGACCUCACAAGCCAAUCACUGCCCACUGUUUUUCUCUGUUCUACCCAAGUGUACCAGACAUUAGUUUAGCAGAUCCAGAAUUUUUUAUCUUCACAAAAAUCAAGAAAUCUUACAUUACCUUGUAAAUUCUGGAAGCAAGUUUUUAAAAUAAAU